rnacentral:rRNA from 1 species
UACGUAGGGGGCGAGUGUUCUCCGGAAUCAUUGGGCGUAAAGCGCAUGCAGGCGGUCAACCAAGUUCAUGCUGACAGUUCCCGGCUUAACCGGGAAAGGUGUGUGAAAACUGGCUGACUUGAGAGCGAGAGAGGGACAUGGAAUUCCAGGUGGAGCAGUGAAAUGCGUAGAGAUCUGGAGGAACACCAAGGCGAAGGCAGUGUCCUGGCUCGUUUCUGACGCUCAGAUGCGAAAGCCAGGGGAGC